rnacentral:rRNA from 1 species
GACAGAGGCCUCAAGCGUUAGGCGGAAUCACUGGGCUUAAAGCGUGUGUAGGCGGAUCGUUAAGUGUCUUGUGAAAUCCCACGGCUCACCCGUGGAACUGCUGGGCAUACUGGCGAUCUUGGGCCAACUAGGGGCAACUGGAACAAGCGGUGGAGCGGUGAAAUGCGUAGAUAUCGUCAGGAACGCCGGUGGUGAAGACGGGUGACUGGGCUAGUUCUGACACUGAGGCACGAAAGCGUGGGGAGCGAACGGG